GAUGAACGCUGGCGGCGUGCCUAAUACAUGCAAGUCGAGCGAACAGAUGAGGAUCUUGCUCCUCGGACGUUAGCGGCGGACGGGUGAGUAACACGUGGACAACCUACCUAUAUGACUGGGAUAACUUCGGGAAACCGGAGCUAAUACCGUAUAAUAUAUUGAACCGUGUGGUUCAAUAGUGAAAUACGGUUUUGCUGUCACUUAUAGAUGGAUCCGCGCCGCAUUAUCUAGUUGUUAAGGUAACGGCUUACGAAGGCAACGAUGCGUAGCCGACCUGAGAGAGUGAUCGCCGACACUGGGAGUGAGACACGGUCCAGACUCCUGCGAGAGGGAGCAGUAGGGAAUCUGACGCAAUGGGCGAGAGCCUGACGGAGCAGCGCGGAGUGAGUGAUGACGGUGUUCGGAUCGUAAAACUCUGUUAUUAGGGAAGAACAAAUGUGUAAGUAACUAUGCAGGUAUUGACGGUACCUAAUCAGAAAGCCACGGCUAACUACGUG
rnacentral:rRNA from 1 species